rnacentral:lncRNA from 1 species
CAAAUGCUCUCUACUGUAGUUGAAUGAUUGUCUCUUUACUUUGUUCUCGUGACAGAAGCUGGCACAAGUUCAGUGGAGCGGGAGGAUCCUGCGUCUAAAAGCAGUGUCGUGGACUGUUUACAAGCUCUUCAGAUCCAGAGGGAGACAGAUGUUUUCUGUCCAGUCCAGCACUGUCCUGACCUCAGCUCUCAAACAGCCGUCCCGGAAGACAACAAGAAGGGCUCAUUGGUGUGUUUACAAGAGGAGGAUGACAUUCCAGAGACCAACACUGAAGCCCAGGACAGCAUUUUUCAAGAGGUACAAGACUGUCAAUAUUUAUUAUCCACAAUGGGUAUCUAUUCAGAC